rnacentral:rRNA from 1 species
UACCUGCAGCUCUAGUGGUGUCCGCUAUUAUUGGGCCUAAACGUCCGUAGCCGGCUUAUUAAAUGCCUGGGUAAAUCGUACGGCUUAACCGUACGAAUUCCGGGUAGACUGAUAAGCUUGGGACCGGGAGAAGCUAGAGGUACUCCUGGGGUAGAGGUGAAAUUUUGUAAUCCUAGGGGGACCACCAGUGGCGAAGGCGUCUAGCUAGAACGGGUUUGACGGUGAGGGACGAAGCCCUGGGGAGCAAACGGGAUUAGAUACCCCGGUAGUCCAGGGUGUAAACGCUGCUUGCUUGAUGUUAGUCGGGCUCCGAGCCCGAUUAGUGUCGGAGAGAAGUUGUUAAGCAAGCUGCCUGGGAAGUACGGCCGCAAGACUGAAACUUAAAGGAAUUGGCGGGGAGCACUGCAACGGGUGGAGCGUGCGGUUU